AUUGAACGCUGGCGGCAUGCCUUACACAUGCAAGUCGAACGGUAACAGGUCUUCGGAUGCUGACGAGUGGCGAACGGGUGAGUAAUGCAUCGGAACGUGCCCAGUAGUGGGGGAUAGCCCGGCGAAAGCCGGAUUAAUACCGCAUACGACCUGAGGGUGAAAGGGGGGGAUCGCAAGACCUCUCGCUAUUGGAGCGGCCGAUGUCAGAUUAGCUAGUUGGUGGGGUAAAGGCCUACCAAGGCAACGAUCUGUAGUUGGUCUGAGAGGACGACCAGCCGCGCUGGGACUGAGACACGGCCCAGACUCCUACGGGAGGCAGCAGUGGGGAAUUUUGGACAAUGGGCGCAAGCCUGAUCCAGCAAUGCCGCGUGCAGGAAGAAGGCCUUCGGGUUGUAAACUGCUUUUGUCAGGGAAGAAAUCUUCUGGGUUAAUACCUCGGGAGGAUGACGGUACCUGAAGAAUAAGCACCGGCUAACUACGUGCCAGCCGCCGCGGUAACAC
rnacentral:rRNA from 1 species